UACGGAGGGGGCUAGCGUUGCUCGGAAUUACUGGGCGUAAAGCGCACGUAGGCGGCUUUGUAAGUUAGAGGUGAAAGCCCGGAGCUCAACUCCGGAAUUGCCUUUAAGACUGCAUCGCUUGAAUCCAGGAGAGGUGAGUGGAAUUCCGAGUGUAGAGGUGAAAUUCGUAGAUAUUAGGAAGAACACCAGUGGCGAAGGCGGCUCACUGGCCCGGUACUGACGCUCAUGUGCGAAAGCGUGGGGAGCAAACAGG
rnacentral:rRNA from 1 species